rnacentral:tRNA from 1 species
CGGGGCGUAGCGCAGCCUGGUAGCGCACUUGACUGGGGGUCAAGGGGUCGCAAGUUCAAAUCUUGUCGUCCCGACCA